ACAGAGGUAUCACUGGUUAAGAUUUAGUUUCAUUAUGUAAUAUCACUUUUUAGCUAUGCAUUUAUUAGAGGCUGAACCAUUGAAUGCUUUGAGACAAUUAAAGAAGGAUUUUGUGGUUGAACGUCACCUUCCCUUCUUCACUUCCAUUAUUUUCUUCCAACCUCCUCUUGCCUAUUGAUUUUCCUCUAGAUCUUGAGUUCAGCAGGUUUUUGUGCUGGAGUCUUGAGGUGCUUUUAGGGUCAGAUUCGUUUAUGCAGCUACCAAUCGAUUUCAGCUGCAGAUCUGCGGCAUGGGCUACGAGUGCGGCAUGGGCUACGAGUGAAGGUUGUCGAUCUGGUUACCGAAGUGACCAUUCUUGAUGGUGAACCGGUCUACAACUACUGAUGUGCAGCAGCAUCUGAUCGAUGGUGGAUGGUUCAUCACGGAUCAAAUAAUCAGUCCAUUAGGAACAUAAGAAGGAGACAUGGACAAACAUACCAGGUAUCUGACACUGAAAGAAGGCUUAGAAAAUCACCUGUAGCUUGGCUGCUACGAUCAAAGUGUUUGGUUGCCUGGCGCAAUAGCCGAACCUGCUUUACUCCGUGAAGAUUUGAUGACCUGGUGAUCAAAGUGUUUGACUGCUUGGCGCAAUAGCCGAACCUGCUGUACGCCGUGAAGAUUUGACGACCUGGUUUAUGCCUAAUGAGAGUUGAUGAGGGAAAAAAAGUAAUCGAGGCUGUUGUUUUAUAGUGUUUUUUUAACUUCUAAUCGGACCAGACUACGAUUCGUUUAUAGUAGUCACAUCCGGUGUCUAACUUGAAAAACAAACAACAAACAGAUACGUGCAUGUGUGAGUCUCUAUGGAGGUCUCACGUAUGUACCAGAUUUUUCAGCUUAUUAAAUCACAACCAUCGAUAUAGAUUUAUCACAA